CAGCAUUUUGAAAAUAAUAAAAAUAUGUUGUGAGUCACAGGAGCGGCGUGAAAAGAGGAAAGCCAGGCGUGGAUGGCCAAAUGGAAUGAAUGCAAAUAACAGAUGCUGAUCCAGUGGCCAAUUGUAUUUUAUUCCCUCUUUGGUAAUACAUCAGGAAUUCUGAGGCAACAAUGGAAUGAGAGAUGAAAAGGAAAAGGCUACAAAUAUUCCAAGAAAACCUCUUGCCUUGAAAGUCAAGCCGGUUCUUCAAGUUCACUGCCAGUACCAGCAGCUGAUUAUGCGCUACAACUUCCGAUAUU